rnacentral:rRNA from 1 species
AGAAUCAACGCUGGCGGCGUGCCUAACACAUGCAAGUCGAACGAGAAAGUGGGAGCAAUCCAUGAGUACAGUGGCGCACGGGUGAGUAACACGUGACUAACCGUACCCUUGAGUUCGGAAUAACUUCGGGAAACCGAGGCUAAUACCGGAUAAUAUCUACGGAUCAAAGGAGCAAUUCGCUUAAGGAGGGGGUCGCGGCAGAUUAGUUAGUUGGCGGGGUAAUGGGCCCACCAAGACGAUGAUCUGUA